UGUAGUCUCAAAAAUUUUAAAUAUAAAUCACUUUUUUCUCUAUUUUAUGAGUUGGAAAAUAUUUGUUUAUUGUAUUUAAUUAUCAUUAAAAAUAUAUUUAUCAUAACUAAAGCAUGUUCAAAUUGGUGACAUAUUGAAAAAAUAACAUCUGUUGAAUCAUUAAAAUAUUACCACAAGUAUUUGUAUUGAUCAUAUAUUGUUAAAUAAAGAUCUUGACCUGCAAAAGAUGUAUCUGUAGGGAUCGUUGGGUUUCUGAUUUCAGUUGCAAGAAUUUCUAGUUUGCUAUAUUGUUAGCAUGGCAAUACCAGAAGUUUUAUGUAAAGUACUUGAUUUUGUGAAGCAACAAGAAGACCAAAGACAAACGUGUUUUAGAAGAAAAUUAACCAUUUUUUGCGUACAAAAAUCAAAAGUAUGGGGCUGGCCCGUGGCACAGCAGUUAAGCUCGCACAUUCCACUUUGGCGGCCUGGGGUUCACCGAUUCAGAUCCCAGGUGUGGACAUGGCACCACUUGGCAAGCCAUGCUGUGGUAGGCCUCCCACAUAUAAAGUAGAGGAAGAUGAGCAUGGAUGUUAGCUCAGGGCCAGUCUUCCUCAGAAAAAGAGGAGGAUUAGCAGUAGAUGUUAGCUCAGGGCUGAUCUUCCUUAAAAAAACACAAAAAACCUCUGUCUAAAUAUUUUCUUUAAAAUGAACUAAAUGUGAGAGGGUUGUGUGUGUGUGUGUAUGUGUGUGUAAUAAAAGGAAUGGAAUCAAGCCAUUUUAGAAGCCUAUCAUCACGCUUAGUGCUUUACAAAUACUUUCAUCUCUCAAUCUUUACGAUGACUCAGAGUACUUACUACUCCAGUAAGAGGAAUCACAUGGAGAGGAGACAGCGAGAGACUAAGUGUCCCGAAGAGGGACUGCAAAGCUCUGAUUCAAAUGCAGAGUGGACUCUGCAGCCUGUGUUGGUUCCUCUACUGCAUGCCCUAGACACGGAAUUGUCUCAUGAAUAUGACUUAGCCCCUAAGUUCUUCAUGUAAGAAUUUUGUGACCUUUGAUGUUAAUGAUGUAUCGUGGUUUUAAUUUUCAGAUUUGUGAAAUGUAAUUUUGGUUCAGGUUUACUUUACAAAAUGCAACCCAAGACAUUACAAGCAAUGUAAUAUGAAGAAAUGAAUAAUCAAAUGAUGGAUUUAACUAAUUUAUAAAGUUCAAACCCAAACUUCCCCUUGACUGCAAGAUUUGUCUUUUUUUCCUCUAUAAUUACCAAAAUACUUGACUCAGUUAUCCAGUUAAUUUUAUACAUGUAUUCGUGUGUCUAUGUAUCUUCAAAGUGUAGUUUUUAACUACCAUAGUUACACCAGGAAGCAUGUACAUGCUUUUUGCUUUUGAAUUUUUUCUUGCUUAGAUUUAUCCCAUCAUCUAUAGUUAAGCCUGUUUUAUAGAAAGUCUUUGACUUUCUUUAAAUUAUUUCAUUUAGUCUAAUUCCACCUCUUCCAGCUCCAUGCCACCACCCUUACCCCAACCUCAGUUUAGCACAUAUCCUGCUCUCACCUGUCACGCUUGUGUCAAUAUUAUCAUUUCAUUGGCAGCAUUCUCACUGCUGGAAGUCAAGCUCAGUUGUGAAGGGGAAUUUGUUUAGGCAUAACAAUGCCAAUAUGAAAAGAACUGAAAUAAAUUGCACGUCUCUCUUUAAUCCAUUGGAUCUUUUGCAGAUAAAAAAUUUUUACUUUAAAGUCUGCUUCAUUUUUCUCACUAAUGCCUCCAUCAACCCUUUUUUACAUUGAAGACUACCAUUUUCCCUUUCAUAAACAUUCUGAAACCUAUUAGCUACUCAGAUCCAAUGGCUUGCUCCCUUCAGUUGCAGAAGAUUGCCACAUUCCUUCACAAAAAGAGCCUGGAAAGUGCUAGCAGUGCCCUAUUUCUCUGAAGGGUCUCUAACUCUUACUCAAGUAAAGGAAACGGUAAGUAAAGAUGUUUGGCAUGGUAGAUUUUAAAAAUGAAAGAAAAAUGUGUACUCAUAAUACAGAUAAACUACUUUUUCAGGUAUGUUCUGUCUUAUUUUCUCAGGUAUUAAAAUAUUUCAAGGAAGUUUCAAUACAUUGACUGUCAAGAAACUACUAAAGCAUCUUUUGAAAACUUUUCCCUGGUGAUUCUCAACUGGAGACAUUUAGUUGGGAAGCAUCUGGAAAUGUAUGAGGGCACCUUUGAUUUCUCAGUGAUGCAGGGGGUGGCUGGCAGCGAGCUACCGGCCUUCAGCACUGGGAGCUAGGGAUAUGAAACAUCCUGCAAGUCCAGCACAACCGUGAAUUAUUCCACCGAAAUGCCAGGGGUGCUGUCACCCUUGAGAAACACAAGGGACCUAGCUAUUUCAGGUAAAUGAAGUGUUCAUUGUGAAAAAGUCAGAGGCAGAGGAGUGUAAGGGCUCUGUGUGGACUGUGGAGCCACACAGCUUGAGUUCAAAUCCAGUUUCCGGCUGUAUGACAUUGGCCAUUUAAUUAAAUGAUCUAAGACUCAGUUGCCCCAUCUGUAACAUGGGAAUACUAGUAAUUUUUGCCUCAUAGAAUUUUGUUGUAUAGUAUUAAACAAGUUAAAAUAUAUAAAAUUCUUAGAAUAGGGCAAGCUCUCAAUGUUGGCUAUUGCUAUUGCAAGUUCACUCAAGUCCUUCAUUUUAUUACAUUAAUUAGAAUUGGUGAGAGGAUGUACAAAUAUGUUUUUGAAACCUGAAGCUUCUAAAUUUAAAAUUCUUCAGUCUGGAAUCCAUUAUGUGUGAGAAAAUAUUUCUUGAUGAGAACAGUCAGAAUGUAAGCAUGCUCUCAGUCACUAAAUGUGUUCCAACAAAGCAGCAGGAGAAGGUUAAGAGUGGGAACGGCAAGUCUUCCCAGGUUGAAGAAAAUUUGUGUGGGCUGUGAAAAAGGAAGACUGUAAGGUGGACACUUUGCAGAGUAAAGGGAUGCAGAGGAGGUCUGACCAAAUUAUAACCGUGCGUUUGCAGGGCACUGAUCAUAGUUGAUGAGAUGCAACCAAGAAGAGAUUAUUACUGGCCCAGACCACGAGGAAAAAUCAAUUUCAGACGACAGUCAAGUUGGAGGACCCUCGUGGAACACUUUGUAUUUCCAUGGGGUCUGUAAACCUUGAACCUAUUGGUGCAGACUUGGAACAUUCUGAAUGGUUAAAUGCUUCGUUCUGUAAAAGAGGAGACUGCUCACUCUGCAGCUAAGUCUUGGAUUUGUGGUUUGCACACAGAGGGCCUUGCUUAUGUAACUCUCAUUUUUAACUAUAGUCCAGUGAAAGUCAGUUUUAUUUCUAUUAAGGAUUUAUAAGCCCAAAAGUGAACAUUGAAUUAAUCCUAGUGUGUUAUACAUUAAAAAAAAAAGCUGAGUCCAAACAAGAAUGAGGUUAGUGCCUGUGGGAAGAGUAGAACAGCUCAUCACAGGUGGAUGUAACAAAUUUUUCAAGUCAAAGUUCUGUCAGAUGUUUUAUGUGAUGAUUCAAAUGAUCAAAUGCUUUAAUCACAAAUAGAAUCGGGUAAUAUCACCAUUAAUAGGAAACUUCCAAAAAUAGCCAUAGUAAUAGUGCUAUGUUGAUUCAUUCUCUUUCAAAGAUUGAGUCACCAAGUACAAAAUCUGGUGAACUGGAAUUGAUGACAGCAACUAUCCUCUUCCCCCGUCUCUCUUGGUUCCUCCUCCUACCCACUGAACCUUCGCACUGUAAACGUUCAAUAUUCUCCAUUAUACACUUGCUUAACGCACACACAUCCACUUCUCAGAGACUCUUAAAGUCAUCUUACUGGCCCUACUGUGAAUGUUUCUCAAAUCUGUCUCCAGCAUUGGCCCCUCCCUUGUGCUUCAGUCUUAAGAUUUCCAAGAGCUAUUAGAUAUUGCUACUUAAAUAUAAAAAUUCUACCCUAAAAUUCACACAUUUCUCCCUUACAUCUCAAUCGAAAUGAUCAACAAAUCUGAUCUAUUUUCAAAAUGCCUCCAGACUCUGACCACUUCUCUCCACCUCUGUCCUGGUCCAAGCCGCCAACACCUCUUCCUGGAUUGAUGUGGUGGCCUGCUCACUGGUCUCCAUGAUUCUUCCAUCCUUACGCUACUUCACUCUUCUGAGCUCAGCAGGCAGAGUAGUGCUUUUAAAAUGUGCUUUAAAAAGUCACAUCCUGACACAACUCUGCACAAAACCCUCCGAUGGCAUCCCAUUUCAUUCAAAAUAAAGCCAAAUUUCUUAAUAAUCUAUAAGGUCUAUGCAAUGAGCCUCUGACCUCAUCUCUUUCUCUUCUUUUCCUCCUUCUCUCUUCUCGUUGUUCCCUCUGGCUGGAAUGCAUACCCCAGACACCUGCGAGAUCUACUCCCUCCCAUUCUUGAGGUCUUUACUUGAAUGACUUCUCAGCGAGGACUUUUCUGACCAUGCUGAGUGCUCCAUAUUGCCCUUUCUCAUUUUAUUUGUCUCCACAACACUUAUCAUUGACAUAAAGUGCAAUUUACUUACUUAUUGUUUAUUUUUGGUCUCUCCACACUGGAAAGUGUAGGGACAGGGAUGUUAGUCUGUUUUGUCCACUGUUGGAGCCCCAGUGCCUAGAACAAAGCUGUGCACACAAUCAUCAUUAAAUAAAUAUUUCUUGAAUGAAUCCAAACAUAUCUGACUCUGCUAAAACCAGCUUCUAAUAUGGACUACCCUAUAUUUCCUGAGUGUCCACACUUUUCUCCUGCUAAAAAUCCAUAUAGACUCAUAUUUUUGCAGUUAUCUUUGUCUCUGUCUGUCACUAGGACAUCUCAUCAGUUGCCAAAUUCUUUCAAUUCCAUGAUGUUAUUGGAAUCUGUCCCCCUCUUUUUUAUUUCUACUGCACCACCCUCGUUUAUGACAGCAUAGGUUGGAAUCAGAUAGACUUGGGUUUGCAUCCCAUCUGAACCCCUUACUAGUUAUAAGACCUCGGGCAAGUUCAUUUGGAGUGGGAUGGGGAGGAAGUCUCAGUUUUUCAUUGGUUAGUUGGUACCUACUUCAUAGGGUGGUUAUGAGUUAAAUGAGAUAAUGUGUCUGAAGCAUGUAUUCUUACCUGAAACAUAGUAAGUGAUCAGUCUAUUCCCAUAUGUAUGAUCCAUGGCAAUAGAUUUCUAACUCGUAUCCCUUCUCCUUCUCUCAUUCCUUUUCAAUACACUAUACCAUUACUACCAAAAACAUCUUCUGUAAGUAUUGCUUUGAUCAUGCUAUUCAGUUACUCAACAACUUUGAAAAUCUUCCUGCAGAUAAAGGGAAUUACAAUUUGAGUGCCUACUAUGCC
ensembl:lncRNA